rnacentral:lncRNA from 10 species
GGAAGGUCUUUUUAGCAGGGGCCUUACGGGUGCGCGCUUCGGUCCUGGAGGCCUUAUCCUAGCCUCCUCUCUCCAUCAGCGCCACCCGUCUGGGGCCCAAAAGGAGGGAGCUUUACCUCUGUCCCCCAGCCUUUGGAGUGUCACCAAACAAGCCAUUCGUUCACCAAAUACUUAUUAAGUGCCUGACAACGGAGAUGUAACGAAAUUGCCUGUUUGCUCCACUCUGGUUGAAGAAACCAGUCUGACUGUCUCUGAGGCUAUGGAGCAGUCCAUCAAGAAUGAAAGCCCUCUGCCAGGCACGUUGGCUCACACCUGUAAUACCAGCACUUUGGGAGGCCGAGGCAGGUGGAUCACUUGAGGUCAGGAGUUCGACACCAGCAUGGCCAACAUGGUGAAACCCUGUCUCUACAGAAAAUAAUACUUUGCAAGGCCUCAGAAACUCUGCUAUCCACAGGCAGGUAGAAGUUGCUGGUCCCAUCUUGCUCACAAUCCUCCAAAGUUUGGAAGUUACUUUCCAGGAGACUUAGCUUGCACUGAGAGCUGCCCUCCCACCCUCUCUCCAAAUUUCCUCUUGGGAGUAGCCUAACAAGGUGCUGUCACAGACCCUUGCCAGCCACGAUGACCCCACCCAGACCAUCCCUCUGCUGUUUCACUCUUUGAUACUCUCUGGAGCUCUCUGGGGAGGGGUGAGACCUGCUGUCUGCUUUGUACUGUUUGCCCAGGUCUUACAGUCAUGGCUGGCUCCUCUCUCUGAGAACUGGGACUCCUGAACUUGGUGAAAUACCUCAGCCAUCGAUCAUGUUAAAUUAUCGGGGACACUCAUUAAAAAUGUGAGUCUGCUCCAGAUGGACUCUCUCUCUUUCUGCCCUGACCGUGAGGGAGACCGUGAGAGAGAGAGACCGUGAGAGAGAGAAACCGUGAGAGAGACCAUCAGAGAGAGAAAGAGAGACCGUGCCCUGACCUGCUGGACAGUGGAGAUGCUUGUGGGCUGUGAGCAACAGAUGCAAGGGCUGCCGGGAAUCCCAUCUUUCCAGCAUCAUCUGCCAAGGCACAUCAGUUCCUGGGUGUCUUGAUGGGUUCUGGCAGCAUUACUGUCAUUGAAGGAAAACAUUUUAGCCAUAUUAAAGGUGAACUCAGCAAUCCCCACACAGCCUGCCUGGAAGGGACGCGGGACAAGGGUAGGUUCUCCCUGUGAUGGACAGGAGGCAGGCGACCCUCCCACAGCCCUACCUGGCAAUGCAGAUGUGUCCCCAAAAGGCACUGGGGGCAGCUGGAGUGCUGUGCCUAGGCGGGCUCACCCGGGCAGCGGUUCGCUCUGAUUGCAGUGGUUUCCCACCAGCUCCUUGGAGAGCUGGCAGAUGACCCAGCCCCACAGCAGGAGCCGGGAAUGGCAGAACGAGAUACAACAAUUUGAUAUCCACUUGCCAGAUGAGCCGGGUGUCCUCAGUCGCCUGGCUCUGUGCCCAACCUCUUUUUACAUAAACACUUAUGAAUUGAGCCAGGAGGAAAAGCACUCUGAUUAUGAAUUGAGCAGAAGGAAACAAAGUUCUGCAGAUAAACACCAAUGAAACAAAAAACCACGAAUAAGAAAAAUGACAGAAAAGGAGAACCUUCCCAGAAGCCUCCUGCCAGUGAACGGUCACCAGAGCAAGAGCAUGGAGGCCCUGGGUUUUGAACUGUGAGAUAAGGAAGAUGAUGAAAACCUCCCUAGCAGCCAGGCGCAGGAAUGAGAUGCAGCAGCUGGGGAAGCCAGGGUCUCUGGCAGUCCUUGUCUCUGGGCAGUGAUCCAGAGAGAGAACACGAUUGUCUCAGCACUGGAUCUUCUUCUGAGUCGUUUUGAAGGAGCAAUUGCAGAGCGUCUCGGUGUUAAACAUCAUGUUGUGAAUGACUCCGUGAUCUCUGACCCAGUGUCCUUGGGGAUAAAGGAGGGGAG